GAGUUUGAUCAUGGCUCAGAACGAACGCUGGCGGCAGGCUUAACACAUGCAAGUCGAGCGCGUAGCAAUACGAGCGGCAGACGGGUGAGUAACGCGUGGGAAUCUACCCGGAACUACGGAAUAACAUGAAGAAAUUUAUGCUAAUACCGUAUACGCCCUUUUGGGGAAAGAUUUAUUGGUUUCGGAUGAGCCCGCGUUGGAUUAGCUUGUUGGUAGGGUAAUGGCCUACCAAGGCGACGAUCCAUAGCUGGUCUGAGAGGAUGAUCAGCCACACUGGGACUGAGACACGGCCCAGACUCCUACGGGAGGCAGCAGUGGGGAAUAUUGGACAAUGGGCGCAAGCCUGAUCCAGCCAUGCCGCGUGAGUGAUGAAGGCCUUAGGGUUGUAAAGCUCUUUCACCGGUGAAGAUAAUGACGGUAACCGGAGAAGAAGCCCCGGCUAACUUCGUGCCAGCAGCCGCGGUAAUACGAAGGGGGCUAGCGUUGUUCGGAUUUACUGGGCGUAAAGCGCACGCAGGCGGAUAUUUAAGUCAGAGGUGAAAUCCCGGGGCUCAACCCUGGAAUUGCCUUUGAUACUGGGUAUC
rnacentral:rRNA from 1 species